rnacentral:lncRNA from 1 species
UACAUACAUACAAAAUCUGAUAAAAUAUACAUGAUUUCAUUUUAAUUUUAAACUCAAACAACUGUAUUUUAUUUUAUUCUUGCAUAAAAACUGUCAUGACCCUGUGCCUUCUCGGCUGACUCUGUAUGGCUACAAGUGUUUUUGUUGUGUUGCGUCUCUCUCUCCCCUCCCGCGCACUGCGCUCUACCGGGGCGGAGUCAUGACGGCUCCAGCCACUGGCUCGGACACCUGCAAGCAAUCGACUCAUCACCACGCUCACUUCUUAAGGCGGCUGCUGAGAGUGCUUGAUUAUUGUGUAACACUCAUUUCUCGCCAGCCUGAGGACCGCCGUUUGGUGAGCUAAAAGCCGGAGUCCGAGCUAACCUGAGCUUCAGUGAAGGAUUGUGUACAUAGCCCGUUCCCUUCCCGUGCCUGUGUUCCCCGGAGACCCCCUUCCUGUGCCCCCUCACCUGUAUAUAUCCGCACCUGGUGUCUGUGUGUAAAUAAAUUGUGAACUUUAGUGACAGUCUGCCUCCGAGUCUCUCCUGAGCCUGACAAAAACCAGAAAUGUUGUGUAUUUAAAAUUUCUGUAUUCUUACGUAAUGGAAAAUUUGUAAUGUAUACACUCAUAUAUUUAGCAUCUAAAGGCAAGGGAGAAGAUAGUUCUGGAAAACUUUUGGUGGCAUCUUCGAGUGUUACAGGAAAUGCUGAUACGGUAUCAGAUAAGCAUCUGCUAUCAUCUGAUAAUAGAUGAAAGCAGAGUGGCUGGAAAGGAACAUCUUGAUGCGAAUAUUGACACCGACCAUUACCACCAGAUUCUGUUGGCAUGGUAGCACAGCAGAGCACAACUGAAGAUACAAAAAUGAGUACAUUUUCAAAUGAAUGAAUAACAUGAAAGUUUGACAAAUAGAAUUCAAAGGCAUGAUGAAUGCCUGCAUUUGUUUUUGAUUUGCGUAUUUUCAUUUUUCAUUUCUAUAUGCAAAUAUAAUGUAAUGCAUGUGUUCAUGGAGGGUCUUCUCUGUGAGUGUUACGUUCCCCUAAAAGGGUCCAGGCGAUAAGGGGAAGUAACAAAAAGUGUCUGGGUCAGAAAAAGGAGACAGAGGCAAAAUGGUUAAAUUAAAGAGUUUUAUUACGGUUUCUAUUAAUAACUCAACUAAAAGAGACAGACAAGCCGCUAUCACCAUUUGAAGAAACAAACCAAAACUCAGAUGUCGGUCAGUACUACUGAAAAGUAAGUCAAAGAAAAAAGGGUUAGUCACCAAAUACACUUCUCUCCACCGAGCAGGCGCAAACAGUCACAAAACACAGCUCACUAGCUGCAAACACCAACAUGGCUCUCUGGCACCAAAGCUCACCUUUCUCUGGGCUUAAAUACCUUUAAUUGCUGAUGGGAGGCAGCUGUACAAAAGAAAAAGGUGGCAAGAGAGAUGGUAGGACACGCCCACACAGGCAACUUCAGGAGGCCCUGCUAGGGCCGUAACACCCCCUCCCAUAAAU